GAUACUUCCACCUCCAAGUGUAACUGGUGCUCUUCAUAUAGGCCAUGGUCUUACUACUGCAAUACAGGAUACAAUUGUCCGUUGGCGGAGAAUGUCGGGCUAUAACGUUCUGUGGGUGCCUGGAAUGGACCAUGCUGGCAUAGCAACCCAGGUGGUUGUGGAGAAAAAGUUGAUACGUGAGAACAAUGUAACAAGGCAUGAUAUUGGACGCGAGAGAUUUGUUUCUGAGGU